rnacentral:rRNA from 1 species
GCUAAGACUGGAUAGGAAGAAAUAAGGCAUCUUUUUUCUUUUAAAAGACCUAGUGAUAGGUAUACUUUAGGAGGGGCUUGCGCCAUAUUAGUUAGUUGGUAGGGUAAUGGCCUACCAAGACGAUGAUGUGUAGCUGGACUGAGAGGUUGAACAGCCACAUUGGGACUGAGACACGGCCCAAACUCCUACGGGAGGCAGCAGUAGGGAAUUUUCGGCAAUGGAGGAAACUCUGACCGAGCAACGCCGCGUGAACGACGAAGUACUUUGGUAUGUAAAGUUCUUUUAUCAAGGAAGAAAAGCAAGUGGUGAACCAUUUGUUUGCCGGUACUUGAUGAAUAAGCCCCGGCUAAUUAUGUGCCAGCAGCCGCGGUAAGACAUAAGGGGCAAGUGUUAUCCGGAAUUAUUGGGCGUAAAGGGUGCGUAGGCGGUCUAGUAAGUCAGUGGUGUAAUGGCAACGCUCAACGUUGUCCGGCUAUUGAAACUGCUAAACUUGAGUUAGAUAGAGGCGAGUGGAAUUCCAUGUGUAGCGGUAAAAUGCGUAAAUAUAUGGAGGAACACCAGAGGCGUAGGCGGCUCGCUGGGUCUUAACUGACGCUGAGGCACGAAAGCGUGGGGAGCAAACAGGAUUAGAUACCCUGGUAGUCCACGCCGUAAACGAUGAGUAAUAAGGGUCGGGUUAAACCGGUACUGAAGUUAACACAUUAAGUACUCCGCCUGAGUAGUACGUACGCAAGUAUGAAACUUAAAGGAAUUGACGGGACUCCGCACAAGCGGUGGAUCAUGUUGUUUAAUUCGAAGAUACCCGAAAAACCUUACCAGGUCUUGACAUGUUUUUGCGAAACGGUAGUAAUAUCGUGGAGGUUAUCAGAAACACAGGUGGUGCAUGGUUGUCGUCAGCUCGUGUCGUGAGAUGUUAGGUUAAGUCCUAAAACGAGCGAAACCCUUAUCGUUAGUUGCCAGCACGUUAUGGUGGGGACUUUAACGAGACUGCCAGUGAUAAAUUGGAGGAAGGUGAGGAUCACGUCAAAUCAGCAUGCCCCUUAUGACCUGGGCUACAAACGUGAUACAAUGGCUGUUACAAAGGGUAGCUGAAACGCAAGUUCUUGGCCAAUCCCCAAAAACAGUCUCAGUCCGGAUUGAAGUCUGCAACUCGACUUCAUGAAGUUGGAAUCGCUAGUAAUCGCGAAUCAGCAUGUCGCGGUGAAUACGUUCUCGGGGUUUGUACACACCGCCCGUCA